rnacentral:lncRNA from 1 species
AUUUAUGAUGUCCAUUCCUGGAGAGCGGCAGAUUUUCAAAAGCAAAUGAUAGUGAUUGCAGACUUGAUCCAAUGAAGAUGUAGGAAUGAUUAUUCUCAUUAACGGGGCUGUCAAAACAAUGCUUUGCCCAUUUAUGUGCACUGCUGCUAAACAGUUCUUGAUCUCAGGACCCUUAAUGACGUACGCUGUCAUCCACAGCGUUGCUGGCUGUGCCUGCCCCUAAGGCACCCCUGUGGCUCUGGAUGACCUCCUUGUGCUUGAAGUUCAAAGCCUGCUUCAUUUCACAUCAGCUCCUGCGCCCCGCGAAGCAUCGCCUGCAGGGAGCGAGGCCGCCCAGGCAAGGGCAAGCUGCCUCUGCUCCUCGGCACCAGUCCUGUGGGGGAUUUGGUCCCGUCGGUCUGGAGCCUUUGGGCCUGCGUUGGCUUCGGUUCAUCGAUGAGGCGUUGACGUUGCAGCUAUCAGUGGAACAGCUGUAGCUUGGGUUUAUAAGAGGUAAGGACAAUAUUUUUUUUUUGAUAAAGUAUCUCAAACUGGACUUGCCGAAUAAGUCAUGCCUCAGAUAAUUUAGUCCAGAAUAAACAUUUUUGUAUAGGCA